rnacentral:rRNA from 1 species
UACGUAGGGGGCAAGCGUUAUCCGGAUUUAUUGGGUUUAAAGGGUGCGUAGGCGGGCUUAUAAGUCAGCUGUGAAAGUUUGCGGCUCAACCGUAAAAUUGCAGUUGAAACUGUAAGUCUUGAGUACAGUAGAGGUGGGCGGAAUUCGUGGUGUAGCGGUGAAAUGCUUAGAUAUCACGAAGAACUCCGAUUGCGAAGGCAGCUUGCUGGACUGUAACUGACGCUGAUGCACGAAAGUGUGGGUAUCAAACAGG